rnacentral:rRNA from 1 species
UACGGGGGGGGCAAGCGUUGUUCGGAAUUACUGGGCGUAAAGGGCUCGUAGGUGGCCAACUAAGUCGGACGUGAAAUCCCUCGGCUUAACCGGGGAACUGCGUCCGAUACUGGUUGGCUUGAGUUUGGGAGAGGGAUGCGGAAUUCCAGGUGUAGCGGUGAAAUGCGUAGAGAUCUGCAAGAAUACCCGUGGCGAAGGCGGCCAGCUGGGCCGGUUCUGACGCUGAGGCGCGAAAGCGUGGGGAGCAAACAGG